ensembl:lncRNA
CAAGGUUUACUCUGCAGUGUUACUCCAUUACCAAGGAAAAAACUGCUAAAUUAUUAUUUUCCAUUUUCUAAUACGAUUUGUUUCUGUUAUUUGUAGCCAUGCAGACACAGGUGUCUCCUGUCAGUGCAGACUUCGGAACAACCUCUCUUUUGCCACACUCACUGCUGACUUCAACACCAAUAAAGGGCCCAGGCUGGUGACCUAGCAAGAGACCACGGCUUGAGUUGGAGGAAGCGGAGGAGAGUGACUCCUCAAGUCAUUCCACAGUCUGAUACUGUGUUUUGCUCCAAAGAAUGUGUUAUUUCCCUUCAUGGGAAUGUUGUGCAGUACCCUGGCACAUGCUUUGUCCAAUGGACUAUGGAAGGGACUUUACUUGGCUGACGAGGACGCACCUCACCAGUAUCAGAGCAACAGUUGUGGGGUGUUCAUGCUGAUGUACGCAAUGUAUUCUACCCUCCAAAAGCAAUAUGAUAUUAGUGAGAUCGACGAAGAAGAAGGGGGCGUUCCAGCCUGCGUAAACGAGAACGCCCACCACACGAGAACGCCGGGGGGGCGUUCUAGUCUGCGUGAACGAGAACGCCCACCACACGGGAACGCCCAUUUUUGUCUGCAGUCGGAUGAUAUUGGAAGUAUGCAGUGUUCCUGGGGGCCUGUAUCAGGCCCGCACCCGCAGGACGGACUAAAUUCAAUUCUGGCGUGUCCGGUCUGCGCAGCUGCCCCAGAUCAGGCCCGCACCCGCAGGACGGACUAAAUUCAGUUGUGCGCGUCCGGUCUGCGCAACUGCCCUGCGCAGCUGCCCCGGAUCGUCCGCACCGGUGUUGUGCCGAAUUUCGACCCCCCGCAUAUUAUGACCCCCCUUCGCGUGAACGCGCAUUCGCUUAUUGUCAAC